rnacentral:rRNA from 1 species
GGGAGCUUGCUCCUGGAUUCAGCGGCGGACGGGUGAGUAAUGCCUAGGAAUCUGCCUGGUAGUGGGGGAUAACGUCCGGAAACGGGCGCUAAUACCGCAUACGUCCUGAGGGAGAAAGUGGGGGAUCUUCGGACCUCACGCUAUCAGAUGAGCCUAGGUCGGAUUAGCUAGUUGGUGGGGUAAAGGCCUACCAAGGCGACGAUCCGUAACUGGUCUGAGAGGAUGAUCAGUCACACUGGAACUGAGACACGGUCCAGACUCCUACGGGAGGCAGCAGUGGGGAAUAUUGGACAAUGGGCGAAAGCCUGAUCCAGCCAUGCCGCGUGUGUGAAGAAGGUCUUCGGAUUGUAAAGCACUUUAAGUUGGGAGGAAGGGCAGUAAGUUAAUACCUUGCUGUUUUGACGUUACCAACAGAAUAAGCACCGGCUAACUUCGUGCCAGCAGCCGCGGUAAUACGAAGGGUG